rnacentral:rRNA from 1 species
AGUGAACGCUGGCGGUAGGCCUAACACAUGCAAGUCGAACGGCAGCACAGUACGAGCUUGCUCUUACGGGUGGCGAGUGGCGGACGGGUGAGGAAAACAUCGGAAUCUACUUUUUCGUGGGGGUUAACGUAGGGAAACUUACGCUCAUACCGCAUCCCACCUACGGGUGAAAGCAGGGGAUCUUCGGACUCGGCGGGUGGGGAUGGGCUGGUGGCGGAUUAGCUGGUGGGCGGGGGAGAGGCCUACCAAGGCGUCGACGGGUAGCCGGCCUGAGAGGGUGACCGGCCACAUUGGGACUGAGAUACGGCCCAGACUCCUACGGGAGGCAGCAGUGGGGAAUAUUGCACAAUGGGCGGAAGCCUGAUGCAGCAACGCCGCGUGCGGGAUGACGGCCUUCGGGUUGUAAACCGCUUGCGCCUGUGACGAAGCGUGAGUGACGGUAAUGGGUAAAGAAGCACCGGCUAACUACGUG